rnacentral:rRNA from 1 species
GAUGAACGCUGGCGGCGUGCCUAAUACAUGCAAGUCGAGCGAACAGACGAGGAGCUUGCUCCUUCGACGUUAGCGGCGGAAGGGUGAGUAACACGUAGGUAACCUACCUAUAAGACUGGGAUAACUUCGGGAAACCGGACCUAAUACCGGAUAAUAUUUCGAACCGCAUGGUUCGAUAGAGAAAGAUGGCUUUGCUAUCACUUAUAGAUGGACCUGCGCCGUAUUAGCUAGUUGGUAAGGUAACGGCUUACCAAGGCAACGAUACGUAGCCGACCUGAGAGAGUGAUCGGCCACACUGGAACUGGGACACGGUCCAGACUCCUACGGGAGGCAGCAGUAGGGAAUCUUCGGCAAUGGGCGAAAGCCUGACGGGGCAACGCCGCGUGAGUGAUGAAGGUCUUCGGAUCGUAAAACUCUGUUAUUAGGGAAGAACAAACGUGUAAGUAACUGUGCACGUCUUGACGGUACCUAAUCAGAAAGCCACGGCUAACUACGUG